rnacentral:tRNA from 1 species
GGGGCUUUAGCCAAGUGGUAAGGCAUGGGACUGCAACUCCCCGAGCACCAGUUCAAAUCUGGUAGGCCCCUCCA